CUCACAUCCACCAACGCCAGGGUAUUACGAGCUUUAGCUUAAAACCCAAAGGACUUGACGGUGUCCCAUCCACCUAGAGGAGCCUGUUCCAUCAUCGAUAAUCCCCGCUACACCUAACCACCCCUUGCCAAUCAGUCUGUAUACCUCCGUCGUAAACUUACCAUGUGAGUGCUCACAGUAAGUUUAAUGGCCACCAUCACCAAUACGUCAGGUCAAGGUGCAGCUUAUGGGGCGGCAGGCAAUGGGCUACAAUUUCUAUACUAGAACAAACGAAACGCUGCAUGAAAUACAGCCACGAAGGCGGAUUUAGUAGUAAAAAGAAAAUAGUGUGUUCUUUUUAACUAGGCCCUGGGACGUGU
rnacentral:rRNA from 1 species